GAUUUGAGAGGAUGAUCAGCCACAUUGGGACUGAGACACGGCCCAAACUCCUACGGGAGGCAGCAGUGGGGAAUCUUGCACAAUGGAGGAAACUCUGAUGCAGCGAUGCCGCGUGAGUGAAGAAGGCCUUUGGGUUGUAAAGCUCUUUCGUCGGGGAAGAAAAUGACUGUACCCGAAUAAGAAGGUCCGGCUAACUUCGUGCCAGCAGCCGCGGUAAUACGAAGGGACCUAGCGUAGUUCGGAAUUACUGGGCUUAAAGAGUUCGUAGGUGGUUGAAAAAGUUGGUGGUGAAAUCCCAGAGCUUAACUCUGGAACUGCCAUCAAAACUUUUCAGCUAGAGUUUGAUAGAGGAAAGCAGAAUUUCUAGUGUAGAGGUGAAAUUCGUAGAUAUUAGAAAGAAUACCAAUUGCGAAGGCAGCUUUCUGGAUCAUUACUGACACUGAGGAACGAAAGCAUGGGUAGCGAAGAGGAUUAGAUACCCUCGUAGUCCAUGCCGUAAACGAUGUGUGUUAGACGUUGGAAAUUUAUUUUCAGUGUCGCAGCGAAAGCGAUAAACACACCGCCUGGGGAGUACGACCGCAAGGUUAAAACUCAAAUGAAUUGACGGGGACCCGCACAAGUAGUGGAGCAUGUGGUUUAAUUCGAAGAUACGCGCAGAACCUUACCAACACUUGACAUGUUCGUCGCGACUUUAAGAGAUUAAAGUUUUCGGUUCGGCCGGACGAAACACAGGUGCUGCAUGGCUGUCGUCAGCUCGUGUCGUGAGAUGUUGGGUUAAGUCCCGCAACGAGCGCAACCCUCACUUUUAGUUGCCAUCAUUAAGUUGGGCACUCUGAAAGAACUGCCAGUGAUAAGCUGGAGGAAGGUGGGG
rnacentral:rRNA from 1 species